rnacentral:rRNA from 1 species
AGUUCAGAUUGCAGGCUGNAACCCGCCUGCAUGAAGUCGGAAUUGCUAGUAAUCGCGGAUCAGCAUGCCGCGGUGAAUACGUUCCCGGGCCUUGUACACACCGCCCGUCACACCAUGGGAGCCGGUAAUACCCGAAGUCAGUAGUCCAACCACGUGAGGACGCUGCCGAAGGUAGGAUUGGCGACUGGGGUGAAGUCGUAACAAGGUAAC